CAAUAGCGUAUAUUAAAGUUGUUGCAGUUAAAAAGCUCGUAGUUGGAUUUCUGGUCGGAAGCUCCUGUCCUCUGACGAGCGUACAAGUGCGUCCUACCAUCCUUCUGUUAACCUUUAAGGCUUUCGCGGCUUUCUAGGGGCUCAGAUAUUUUACCUUGAGAAAAUUAGAGUGUUUCAGGCAGGCUAGCGCCGGAAUACAUUAGCAUGGAAUAAUGGAAUAGGACUUUUGCCUCUUCUGUUGGUCAUGAGGCUCGAGUAAUGAUUAAUAGGGAUAGUUGGGGGCAUUAGUACUUAACUGUCAGAGGUGAAAUUCUCGGAUUUGUUAAAGACUAACUUAUGCGAAAGCAUUUGCCAAGGAUGUUUUCAUUAA
rnacentral:rRNA from 1 species